UGAUCAUGGCUCAGAUUGAACGCUGGCGUUUCCAAUACAAACAACAGAAGAAGCCGGUUUCUUUGCUGACAAAAUGAGUGGCGGACGGGUGGAGUAAAUGUCUGGGAAACUCGCCUGGAUGGAGGGGAUAACUACUCGGAAACGAGCUAAUACCGCAUAACGCCCGCGUAAAGACUGCGAGGGGACCUUUCUGGCCUCUGGCUAAUGAUGCCCAGAUGGGAUGAUGGGAUUGAAGCAGUAGGUGGGUAACGGCUCUCAACGGCGGAUUUUGAGAUCCUCAUUGGUCUGAGAGGACGACCCCAGCCACACCGGAACUGAGACACGGUCCAGACUCCUGGCCGGGAGGCAGCAGCGGGGAAUAUUGGUAACAAAUGGGCGCAAGCCUGCAGCAUGCCGCGGCGGUAUGGCGAAGGCCUUCAGUUGUAAAGUACUUUCAGCGGGGAGGUAAGGAGUAAAGUUAAUACCUUUGCUCAUUGACGUUACUCCGCAGAAGAAGACCGGCUAAAUUCCGCGCCACAGCAGCCGCGGUGUAAUACGGAGGGUGCAAGUUAAUCGAAUUACUGGGCGCGCACGGCGGUUUAUUGCCAGAUGUGAAAACUCUGGCUCAACCCUCGAAACUGCAUCUCGAUAAUUGAACCGGCAGUAGAGGGGUAGAAUCUGCGUGUAAAGCGGUGAAAUGCGUAGAUCUGGGAGGAAUACCGGUGGCGGAAGUUGGCGGCCCCGGACGAAGACUGACGCCUUCAGGGUGCGAAAGCGUGGGAGCAACAGGAUUAGAUAAUUCCGGUAGUCCACGCUGCAAACGAUGUUGCCGACUUGAGGUUGUGCCCCUUGAGGCGGUUUCCGAGCUAACGCGUUAAGCCGGACUGCCUGAUACGGCCGCAUAAAACUCAACGAAUUGGAUGGGCCCGCAAGCGGUGAGCAUGUGGUUUAACUGGAUGCAACGCGAAGAACCUUUUACCGUCUUGACAUCCACAGAACUUCUUCCAGAUGGGAUUGCGCCUCGAACCAGGAGAUUAUGGGUAUGUAUGGCUGUCGCCGUGCCCGCCGCGCCAGAAAUGUUGGUUAAGUCCCGCAACGGCAACCUUAUCCUUUGUUGCCAGCGGUCCGGCCGGAACUCAAAGGAGACCGCUGUGCGAUAAACUGGAGGAAGGUGGGGAUGACGUCAAGUCAUCAUGGCCCUUACGACUACCGUGGCCAAUACGCCAGCAAUGGCGCAUACUAUAGCGACUCCGCGAGCAAGCGGACCUCGCGCGCGCUGUCGUAGUCCGGAUUGGAGUCUGCAACUCGACUCCAUGAAGUCGGAAUCGCUAGUAAUCGUGGAUCAGAAUGCCACGGUGAAUACGUUCCCGGGCCUUGUACACACCGCCCGUCACACCAUGGGAGUGGGUUGCAAAAGAAGUAGGUAUCUUAACCUUCGGGAGGGCGCUUACCACUUUGUAGAUUCAUGAUCAGUGAAGUCGCAACAAGCAACCGUAGGGACCGCGGUUGAUCACCUCCUCACUAAAAAGAAGC
rnacentral:rRNA from 1 species